rnacentral:rRNA from 1 species
UACGUAGGGUGCAAGCGUUGUCCGGAAUUAUUGGGCGUAAAGAGCUCGUAGGCGGUUUGUUGCGUCGGCUGUGAAAUCCCGAGGCUCAACCUCGGGUCUGCAGUCGAUACGAGCAAACUAGAGUGUUGCAGGGGAGACUGGAAUUCCUGGUGUAGCGGUGAAAUGUGCAGAUAUCAGGAGGAACACCGGUGGCGAAGGCGGGUCUCUGGGCAACAACUGACGCUGAGGAGCGAAAGCGUGGGGAGCGAACAGG